rnacentral:rRNA from 1 species
UCCCGGCUCAGGAUGAACGCUAGCGGCAGGCUUAACACAUGCAAGUCGAGGGGCAGCGGGAGUAGCAAUACUCUGCCGGCGACCGGCGAAAGGGUGCGUAACGCGUGAGCAACUUGCCCGUAUCCGGGACAUAAGCGGUGGAAACGUCGUCUAAUUUCCCAUAACAACGAGGGCCGCAUGACCCAUGUUUGAAAGAUCCGUCGGAUACGGAUGGGCUCGCGAGACAUUAGCUAGUCGGCGUGGUAACGGCACACCGAGGCGACGAUGUCUAGGGUUCUGAGAGGAAGGUCCCCCACACUGGAACUGAGACACGGUCCAGACUCCUACGGGAGGCAGCAGUGAGGAAUAUUGGUCAAUGGGCGCAAGCCUGAACCAGCCAUGCCGCGUGAAGGAAUAAGGCCCCCUAUGGGUCGUAAACUUCUUUUGUGGUGGAGCAAUAAGGUGUACGCGUACAUCGAUGAGAGUACAUCACGAAUAAGCAUCGGCUAACUCCGUGCCAGCAGCAGC